CCGUCUGCUAGUUGUUGUUCUGGUCUGUUCUCGUUUUGUUGCAGUAGGUUCGAUGCUUCCUGAGGAUCUUAGGCCAUGAAGCUGGAGGGUAUGCAUCCGCUCUGUUUCAGUUUUGUUGCUUGGAGUUGGAGGAAUCUUGAAUCUUAAAUCACUAUUUAUUCACACUGGCUUCUAAUUAGUCAUCCUGAAGACUGAUCUGUCACUGAUAUUAGAUUGGUACCUACAUACAGCAAGUGUCCAUAUUUUAUUGCCAUGGGAUAAAACAUACGAAGAAUCAUGGGAUAACGUCAUCCAUGACACAAGCUCACACUAUAAAGUGCUUUGGACAAUCAUAUGGUCUUUGGCUAGUUAAUUUUCCCAUGUUCUAUAAGCUGCUGAUCUCCUCAUUAUAUCUUUACCACAUUUAAAAUUUCCCGAACAGACAACAAUCAGUACAUAACUACUUUAUUCAUUUUGACAAUUGAAUGUGCAGCCCCUAAAGGAUAGGUGUGGCGCCUGUCGGCUAGGCGCUGCACUGCCAGGUGUGGGGCCGGACCUGGCCCCACGGUGCCAUGGUGGUCAGGCAUGCAGUGCCCACUGCUCUGUCGUGUGCUGCACAAAGGGUCAGCUAGGUAAAUUUCUUUCACCGACGGUACACUUUGUGAAAUACUUUCAUCCAAAGGUCAAUUUUGUCAAUUUUACUUUUUUUUCUCAUGGAACAGAGAGAGUAUCGGCUAU
rnacentral:lncRNA from 1 species